AGGGGUUUAGGUUUAAUAAGACUGAGGGCCUUCAAAGCCCUAGGUGGGGGGACGCCAGGCCCUCAGCCUCUG
rnacentral:tRNA from 1 species